AACGCACAUUGCGCCCUUUGGCAUUCCGAGGGGCAUGCCCGUUCGAGCGUCAUUAACACCACUCAAGCCUAGCUUGGUAUUGGGCGUCGGGGACCUCCCCGCGCCCCCAUGUCGCCGGCUGGCCGUCGUCUGACUUAGCGUUGUGACACAUGUCGCUGAAGAGGACGCCGGAUCGCGCCGUUAAACCCCUUGAAUGUUCGUCGAAUGUUCAGUACAGGUUGACCUCGGAUCGGGUAGGAAUACCCGCUGAACUUAA
rnacentral:misc_RNA from 1 species